AAAUUUAUUCCCCUGGCGCUAGUAGCUCGGAAACAGCAUUCCCCCGCUACUUGUACAGUUCUAUGCGUGUGCGUCGUUCCAUACAAAUACACAGGUGAAAGUAGAGAUGUAUGGAGAAGCAAGGGGAAGGUCACUAGAGUGUGUGUCCGCAGACGCCGAUUUAGACAUAGCCUUGGGUUAAGCGAUAAAAGAAGAGGAAACGGAGAAAAGGAGAGUAAAAGUAAUAAUAGGGACGAGAUUGCAGCGCGCGCGCGCGGUAUCGGUGUCGUCAACCAACAAGAAUGGAAUCGUUUUGAAGAAAUUUGUAUGGGGGUAUUUCCAAAUUGGUAGGUGCUGGCCCCUGACGUACGCGACCAGCUCCAUCGAAGUGCGAUCCGUGGCACGGACAAUAAAAUCCACCAGGUAUAAUACCAGCAUUGGGAAUCGGAAUGCAACCAAGUACGAUUCGGUCAGAGACAUACCGAAGGAGGAUACAGAACUCGUCGUUCUUCGUUCAUCGAUAGUUCGCGCGGACGACACGUUUGGGUCUUGAACAGUUUUUCUGCGGUACUCUUGAAAACUAAUCCUCGGUAUAUCUGUGUGAGCGGCACGAAUUCUCGAAUAAAGAAAACUCAACGCGAAAGGUUGAACGUGCUCCGAUUCGUAUUGUGGUUAGAAUUCGACUGUUUCGGAAACAUUGGAAACAUUGGAAACAGGUGAUUGUAAAAAGAUGAAGAUGGGCCGUAUGCGUAGACGUGCACUUCUGUACGACAACUAUUGUAUAUAUGCCUAGCUAAUUCACUCCCCUGACGCUGGUAACUCGGAAACAGUGUCCCCCCACUAGCUCUGCUUCAGUAGCUGCCGAGACUGUGUAAGUAGGUAUGUAAGCAGUUCUGUCUAACCGCAAGUGGUCGAUGGGAAGAGGUAAAAGUGCAAGAUACAAUUUAGACAAGCUUGGUCCAGCGAAUCGUUGCGUCGCUAUCGAAAUAUCAUUGCGGUAGAUAAACGAUCGUACGUGAAUGUAUUGGUUAGCGUUCGUCGUGUCCACGACUCGGCUGAAGCUUGGUAGAAAAGUCAGAGUCGAUUCGCCAGCAGGUAGACGGAAGACGCCAAGAUCGAGAAAAGAAUGACAGAAGGGACGUGAAUUUCGGUGACGUUGUUCGGUUGAUUGUCACGGAAAUCCCUGAUGUAUAUGCCAAAAGUAGCCAGAUCGUUGGCAGGUUCGGUUAAAGUGAGCGUGAAAUUUGUUCCAGCGUCGGAGGUGUACGCAUCGUAGGUCCAAUGCUCGAAGGGAAGUAACGAGGAGUUGAGUACACUCGGCAUCGCCAGCAUGCGAGUACUCGAAAAAUCGUGGACCGUCGCGGUUAUCGUUAUGCCGGUGAAAGCAACGUUCGAUCGAGCGACAACGCCACAGGAAGCGAUCGAAUCGUUGGAACAUAGCGUCAACGCGCACGCUCGUAUAUCGGCUUCUACCUCGGCUCCGUAAAGCCGACAUCCGUUGUAAACUACGGCACGAUAGUUGUUUAACGGUGCGUCGGGGUCAAGCUUCGUAACGUUCGCUCGAACGUUGCAACAGAAACCUCGAUGACAAAUUGUCUCGUCGAUCGAGGACGAUUCGUUCAAGGAAACGGAUACGAACGGGCGAAUGUUGUCGCGUAUCACGAAAAUUCCUUGAACCGCUUCUCCGUUGCUUUUCGUUUCGUAGCAAUUGUCCAAAGCGUCGGACCAUCCAGCGGAAUUUCGUUCUGUCUGUUCCAGCCGUGUCUUUCUCGAGCCUGUCGUCUUUGGUACCCGAGAGACUAACAGUCGGUUACCAGACUGAUGGGACAUGAUCGCGUCAGCUAUCCCGUUACGGCCUGGAAAAUCAGAGAGAUGGACGGAGCACGCGUGAAACGGAAGUAUCGCCUGCCAAUAGGUUCACGUUCUCGGCGUAAGACCAGCCGUAUUGCGUUUGAGCAGCUAGAAGAAAAGAUCAGUGGAAAACUGGGAUCGCCUGUGGUCGCUAAUGGGGGACAGACUUGUAGGAUGAAUUACCCGUGAGGAACGGUGAUUCGGAGAACCAGGCGGUACUGUAAACGAUGUUUGUGACAUUUUCGAUCCUGGUCAAGUUAAGAGCCGGAACCGAGAAUAGUAUGUCGAAACAGAUAAAUGUGCCAAAUUUCACACCGAAAUCAGUGUCGAAGGUAACGAUUUCCGGCGGUUCGACCGUAUCGAAUUGUUCUUCCAUGUAGAGGUUCACUUUACGAUACCUAUACGGCAGUUGAAGCGGAUAGUCGUAGAUGGACACAGUUGACGAAACGUGUAUUCGUAAGAGCAAUUACCUAGCGAUUACUUUCCCAGUUCGGUCGAACGCCACGUUGGUGUUGUGAUAACGCGUUGCGUUUGCAGACGGCUUCUCCGUGUCGGAGUUGGGAUCGCAGCAUUCUUUUUCGGCGAUGUUUACCACCACAUAGAUGCCGUGAUUGCGUGCGGCGCACGAUAACAGUUUGAACGCCUGCGUAUAUGUCGAUAACGAAUCGUGUCGAACGAAUAAUUAUAUUUGACGAUUGAUCGAUCGAAAAGUUUAUGGAAAAGAGUUCGAUAAACUCGUAACGCGAGCUGUCCUCGCAACUUACUUCGCUAACACCUGUUCGAUUCUGCGUGCACGGAACGUGUUCUUCAACGGGGGAGGGUACAACUGUCGCCCAGGAAUCCAUUUCCGAUUUGUCCGGCAGGUAAACCGACGUUAAACCAUCCUCCGGGAAUACUAUGAUGUCGGCUUCCUACGAAAUCCACGAAACCCGAACAACGAAUAGAAAGGAUUUUAUUUGAAUUCGAGUCUCACCUGUUGUUUCGCUUUCUCUAUAUAUUCGACGUACGUUUCCGCGUUUUCCUUGACAGUUACCCAGCCGUUAUUCUUCGUUAGACGAGGCGAGAAUUCCACCACUGCCGCGACAUAGUGAUCGUCCGCGUUCUCCUCUACUAGCUGUAACAGUGAUCGAACGUAUGCAUGUUCCGACGCACCUUUCCUUUUCGAUGAAACUCGUUAGUUUGAACUUGUCGUUACCUGUUGCGAGAGCUGCGGAAACACGAACAGCCACCCGACGGCAACCAAAAUCCUAUUCAUAGCCGGUUGAUGAUUGUUACGCGGUGCAACGUAUAGUGCAAAUUGCGCAGUCACGACAAGUUGCUCGAAUAAGGAAGAUUGAUCCGAUUAGCGUGCAACAGUACCACCACCGUUCCAACUUUUAUUAUCGUAACUGUUGUCUCAGAUAUUUUUCUUGUUUACCGAAACGGUCACAUGUAGAAAUCGAGUUGCGCGACGAAACAUCACGGAACACCACGAAAUCGCACGAACCGAGCCGAACAGAACCGACUCGAUCCGGCGCGUUUCCAUGUGUACUUAUAUAAGUACAACAGAGACGGGAGCAGACGCGGGAACGAUAAACGCGAUACGAAACCUAUUGCAGAAAUAAACGAUUAU